GGCGUAAGGGUUUGUAGGCGGCUUUAAAAAAAUAAUAAUUAAAGCUAGAAUCAAAUAGAGGUCACCGUGAGAGAACACUUAGUGUAGGGCUGAUAUCUGUAAAUACUUAGUGGAAUUCUAAUUAGCGAAGGCUCUUUUCCAAAUAAUGAUUGACGCUGAGAAACGAAGGGGAGGAACGACAAUAGGAUUAGAUACCCUGGCAUCCCUCUCUGUCAACGAUGAAUGGUAGUUGCUAGUUCUAAUGAGUUAGUGGCGAUGUAAACACGUUAACCAUUCCGCCUUGUGAGUACAAUUGCAAAGUUGAAAACAAAAAAAUUAGUCGGUUUCGGAGCAAACGAAGUGAAGCAUGUUAUUUAAUUCGAUAAUCCGC
rnacentral:rRNA from 2 species